rnacentral:rRNA from 1 species
AAACGACUCUCGGCAACGGAUAUCUCGGCUCUCGCAUCGAUGAAGAACGUAGCGAAAUGCGAUACUUGGUGUGAAUUGCAGAAUCCCGUGAACCAUCGAGUCUUUGAACGCAAGUUGCGCCCCAAGCCAUUAGGCCGAGGGCACGUCUGCCUGGGUGUCACGCAUCGUUGCCCCCCCAAAAAAAUCCCUCCCGGGGGAUCGUGGGGCGGGCGGAAACUGGCCUCCCGUGCGCUCCCCGCUCGCGGUUGGCCCAAAUUUGAGUCCUCGGCGACCUUGCCGCGACGAUCGGUGGUGAGAAUAGCAUCUCGAGCUCCAGUCGCGUGCUCGCGUCCUCGUGUUUGGGCUUGCGUACCCUUUCGAGCGCCUUCUACUCGUGGCGCUGCUCGCUUUGCGACCCCAGGUCAGGCGGGACUACCCGCUGAGUUUAAGCAUAUCAAUAAGCGGAGGAAAAGAAACUUACCAGGAUUCCCCUAGUAACGGCGAGCGAACCGGGA